UUCAGGGGUCACCACAGCAAAUCACUUGCCUCAAUCUAACCCUGUCUUCUGCAUCCACUGCUUUCACAUAUAGUAUAUACACCUUUUCAUUUGUUCAUUAUGUAUUUUUUUUCAGGAAGUGAGGUUUGUGAAAGACUUGAUCUUUUGACCAAGAAGCACUUUGUUAAAGAUGUUUGCAGCAUGUCUGCUCUUGGUCAGACUAGUGGACUUGAGGCCUUUCACAGCCUUGUUAAUCAAUUUGCCCCCAAGAUGUUCCAGUUCUCAUAUCGAGGAAUGCACAGUAGGAUUUAUCUUGCUGCCCUUCAUUAUAACGAGAAUGCUGGAAGACCUAGGGCUUACACAAAAGCAGGGGAACAGCGGUAUAGCAUUGCAUUCCCGAAGUACAAGAAGGGUGGUUAUUCAUUGAAAAAUGUGUUGGUAAAACCUAGUUACCGUUGAUCAGGAUAAGUAUUUCAAUUUCAAAUGCAUGUAAAUAACUCUUUCACACUAAACUGUCUCACCUUUAUCAUUUUUCAACGC